rnacentral:rRNA from 1 species
GAUGAACGCUAGCUACAGGCUUAACACAUGCAAGUCGAGGGGCAGCAUGGUCUUAGCUUGCUAAGGCCGAUGGCGACCGGCGCACGGGUGAGUAACACGUAUCCAACCUGCCGUCUACUCUUGGACAGCCUUCUGAAAGGAAGAUUAAUACAAGAUGGCAUCAUGGGUCCGCCUGUUCACAUGAUUAAAGGUAUUCCGGUAGACGAUGGGGAUGCGUUCCAUUAGAUAGUAUGCGGGGUAACGGCCCACCUAGUCUUCGAUGGAUAGGGGUUCUGAGAGGAAGGUCCCCCACAUUGGAACUGAGACACGGUCCAAACUCCUACGGGAGGCAGCAGUGAGGAAUAUUGGUCAAUGGGCGAGAGCCUGAACCAGCCAAGUAGCGUGAAGGAUGACUGCCCUAUGGGUUGUAAACUUCUUUUAUAAAGGAAUAAAGUCGGGUAUGGAUACCCGUUUGCAUGUACUUUAUGAAUAAGGAUCGGCUAACUCCGUG